rnacentral:precursor_RNA from 16 species
AGAUUGAGAAAUGAUGUGGUCUUCUCGCCCCUGAUCAGCCCGGAAGCUGUUACGUCACUUCCGUUGUAUCAGCUCCAGCGCUGAUCAGUGACGCGGUGACUUAAAAACAACUACGCCAGG